AAAAGCGUUUGGCUGAUAAUCUAUGCUUCUUGUUUGCAUUGAAAUAUUCUCUUUUGAAGACACUACUUCAGGUCUGAUCUUGCUUCAUUAUUAAAGCCGCUCACAUCGUUAUUUCUAGACAGGAUCUUUAUCAGAUGAAAUAGAUAACAUAUAAAUUUAAGAGAGAGAAUCUUCUUUCUGGAAUUAGAAAGUAUAAACAUCAAAAUUUUAAUGGAUCAAGCCUAUACGAAAUUUGGGCUAAAUCCUACAUUCAAAACACUACUCUUGAAAUUUUAGGAGUCUAUUAGGGCUGCUUGAAGGAUAC
rnacentral:lncRNA from 1 species